GCUGGCGACCGGCGCACGGGUGAGUAACACGUAUCCAACCUGCCCUUUACUCGGGGAUAGCCUUUCGAAAGAAAGAUUAAUACCCGAUAGCAUGAUGAUUCCGCAUGGUUUCAUUAUUAAAGGAUUCCGGUAAAGGAUGGGGAUGCGUUCCAUUAGGUUGUUGGUGAGGUAACGGCUCACCAAGCCUUCGAUGGAUAGGGGUUCUGAGAGGAAGGUCCCCCACAUUGGAACUGAGACACGGUCCAAACUCCUACGGGAGGCAGCAGUGAGGAAUAUUGGUCAAUGGGCGUUAGCCUGAACCAGCCAAGUAGCGUGAAGGAUGAAGGCUCUAUGGGUCGUAAACUUCUUUUAUAUAAGAAUAAAGUGCAGUAUGUAUACUGUUUUGUAUGUAUUAUAUGAAUAAGGAUCGGCUAACUCCGUGCCAGCAGCCGCGGUAAUACGGAGGAUCCGAGCGUUAUCCGGAUUUAUUGGGUUUAAAGGGAGCGUAGGUGGACUGGUAAGUCAGUUGUGAAAGUUUGCGGCUCAACCGUAAAAUUGCAGUUGAUACUGUCAGUCUUGAGUACAGUAGAGGUGGGCGGAAUUCGUGGUGUAGCGGUGAAAUGCUUAGAUAUCACGAAGAACUCCGAUUGCGAAGGCAG
rnacentral:rRNA from 1 species